rnacentral:rRNA from 1 species
UACGUAGGGUCCAAGCGUUAUCCGGAAUCACUGGGCGUAAAGCGUGCGUAGGCGGCGUGUUAAGUGAGAUGUUAAAUCGUGUGGCUCAACCAUAUCGAUGCAUCUCAUACUGGCAUGCUAGAGGAAGGCAGAGGCAAGUGGAAUUGGUAGUGUAGCAGUGAAAUGCGUAGAUAUUACCAGGAACACCAAUGGCGAAGGCAGCUUGCUGGGCCUUUUCUGACGCUGAGGUACGAAAGCGUGGGGAGCGAACAGG